rnacentral:tRNA from 1 species
GGGGAUAUAGCUCCAUUGGUAGAGUGCUUGCCUCACAUGCACAAUCCCUGGGUUCAAUCCCCAGCACCACCA